rnacentral:rRNA from 1 species
GACGAACGCUGGCGGCGUGCUUAACACAUGCAAGUCGAACGGAAAGGCCCUGCUUUUGUGGUGUGCUCGAGUGGCGAACGGGUGAGUAACACGUGAGUAACCUGCCCUUGACUUUGGGAUAACUUCAGGAAACUGGGGCUAAUACCGGAUAGGAGCUCCUGCUGCAUGGUUGGGGUUUGAAAGUUUCGGCGGUUGGGGAUGGACUCGCGGCUUAUCAGCUUGUUGGUGGGGUAGUGGCUUACCAAGGCUUUGACGGGUAGCCGGCCUGAGAGGGUGACCGGCCACAUUGGGACUGAGAUACGGCCCAGACUCCUACGGGAGGCAGCAGUGGGGAAUAUUGCACAAUGGGCGGAAGCCUGAUGCAGCAACGCCGCGUGCGGGAUGACGGCCUUCGGGUUGUAAACCGCUUUCGCCUGUGACGAAGCGAGAGUGACGGUAAUGGGUAAAGAAGCACCGGCUAACUACGUG